rnacentral:rRNA from 1 species
AUUGAACGCUGGCGGCAGGCCUAACACAUGCAAGUCGAACGAGUGGCGGACGGGUGAGUAAUGUCUGGGAAACUGCCCGAUGGUGUGGGAUAACUCCUGGAAACGGUAGCUAAUACCGCAUACCAUCGGAUGUGCCCAGAUGGGCUUAGCUUGUAGGUGAGGUAACGGCUCACCUAGGCGACGAUCCCUAGCUGGUCUGAGAGGAUGACCAGCGACACGGGAAAUGAGACACGGUCCAGACUCCUAAGGGAGGCAGCAGGGGGGAAUAUUGGACAAUGGGCGCAAGGCGGAAGCAGCAAUGCCGGGUGUGUGAAGAAGGUCUUCGGAUUGUAAGGUAAUUUAAGUUGGGAGGCGGUACCAACAGAAGAAGCACCGGCUAACUUCGUGCCAGCAGCCGCGGUAAUAC